rnacentral:rRNA from 1 species
UAACAAAGAGAAGCGAAGCAGUGAUGUGGAGCGAAACUCAAAAAAAUAGUCUCAGUUCGGAUUGAAGGCUGAAAUUCGCCUUCAUGAAGCCGGAAUCGCUAGUAAUCGCGGAUCAGCAUGCCGCGGUGAAUACGUUCCCGGGCCUUGUACACACCGCCCGUCACACCAUGGGAGUUUGUAACGCCCAAAGUCGGUGGCCUAACCUUUAUGGAGGGAGCCGCCUAAGGCGGGACAGAUGACUGGGGUGAAGUCGUAACAAGGUACC